GAGAGAGGCUUGCAAGCACCAGAGCCUGCUAAACUCCUGACCCCUCGGUUGGACUCCGAGGCUCACUCA
rnacentral:tRNA from 1 species